rnacentral:rRNA from 1 species
UCGAGAAUAAUUCGCAAUGGGCGAAAGCCUGACGAUGCGACGCCGCGUGAACGAUGAAGGCCUUCGGGUUGUAACGUUCUGUUGUCCUGGGACAACGGUUUUUCGAUAACACCGAAAAACCUUGAGGGUACAGGGAGAGGAAGCACCGGCUAAUUCCGUGCCAGCAGCUGCGGUAAUACGGAAGGUGCAAGCGUUAGUCGGAAUUACUGGGCGUAAAGGGUGCGUAGGCGGUACUAUAAGUCGGGCGUGAAAUUCCGGGGCUCAACCCCGGAACGGCGUACGAUACUGUAGUACUUGAGGAAUGGCGGAGAAAAUGGAAUUCCAUAUGUAGCGGUGAAAUGCGUAGAUAUAUGGAAGAACACCUGUGGCGAAAGCAGUUUUCUAGCCUUCUCCUGACGCUGAGGCACGAAAGCAAGGGGAGCAAACA